rnacentral:rRNA from 1 species
GACGAACGCUGGCGGCGUGCCUAAUACAUGCAAGUCGAGCGCAGGAAACUGACGGAACUCUUCGGAGGGAAGGCAGUGGAAUGAGCGGCGGACGGGUGAGUAACACGUAAGGAACCUGCCUCAAGGAUUGGGAUAACUCCGAGAAAUCGGAGCUAAUACCGGAUAGUUCAACGGACCGCAUGGUCCGCUGAUGAAAGGCGCUUCGGCGUCACCUUGAGAUGGCCUUGCGGUGCAUUAGCUAGUUGGUGGGGUAACGGCCCACCAAGGCGACGAUGCAUAGCCGACCUGAGAGGGUGAUCGGCCACACUGGGACUGGGACACGGCCCAGACUCCUACGGGAGGCAGCAGUAAGGAAUCUUCCACAAUGGACGAAAGUCUGAUGGAGCAACGCCGCGUGAGUGAUGAAGGUUUUCGGAUCGUAAAACUCUGUUGUAAGGGAAGAACACGUACGAGAGGAAAUGCUCGUACCUUGACGGUACCUUACGAGAAAGCCACGGCUAACUACGUGCCAGCCGCCGCCGUAAAAC